CAUAGAUAAACAUACCUACCCAGCAUGUAUCACCAAACCUUGACAAAUAUUUAUAGAAAAGUAACUCUUAAGGAGAAGAGAGGAAUAACAUUGUUCAUAUUUGAAUUAUUUGGAAAAUAGGCUGAAAAUUUGACAGUAGUCAUCACUGCAUCCUGUUCGGCCUAUAUUGGUAGCAUUGUUAGAUAUUAUAUCUAUGGAGAGCUGAAAUGCAGAAGCACAGGACUGGACUGCAGUGCUUUUCCCUCUUACAAAGAAAGUGUCAUGUCACUCUGUGAAAGUUUUUACAAACAAGUUUCAAGUUUAAUUGUGCUAUUUUACUCCAGUCCUCACAGUAAGACAGACUGAGUGUUUACAGUUUUAAACCUUAAUCAGUGUGGCAAGCUCUGGGGCCAAAAACAUUCUCUUUAACCUACUGUACAAAUGUGAUAAAAACAGAGGAAUAAAACUUCAUGUCUUCGUGCCUGUGGGGAGAUACACUUCAUUUAAAGGCAAAUGCACUGGCACUAUAUUCUCUCGCACACUGUGGUUAUGUUAUGCUCCUUCUUGCACUGAAGCUCGUCGCACAGGCACCAUAACAAAUAGAGCUGUGAAAAAUUGGCCAAAAUGACGUGCCAUUAUUCCCUCUAAAAAAAACAAAACCGCGCAGGUUCGAACCAUUCGAGUAUCUAUUUUUACGCAUUACGUCCAUAAGAAGGAAAACCAACACAACAUAACUACGUGUACAGUAUUUCUCAGUGGACUGUAGGGUAGGAGCCUCUCUAAAGGCAUGCCAGGGUAAAGCUCUUUUAGAAUCAGCGAAUGCCAGCAUUUUGUCCUGUUCUGUGCCAGAACCCAUAUGGAGCUGUCAAACUGCAAAAAUAAUGGAGCAAAAUAGGCCUUCAGCUCAGCCAGGUGUCAACAUCUUGUCGUUUUUGUGUUUUCUGCCAUUAUUUUCCUGGCAUGGUGUGUGAUUGCCAUGUCAUUGAUUAUCUGAAUACUUUUUGUUCAUUACAUCAUCAGAAAUGUGACAACAGGCCUGUAUGAUGGUCAGGUUCUAAAAUUAGAUUAUGUGGGCAUGCAAUAGAAUGAUCUUGAAAACUAAAGCAAUACACUUCUUGGUAGUUUGUCCAUAUAGUGUUAUGUAGAUUAAAAAAAAAAACAAAGAUGAACAAAGGCCAUGAUCACAGUUCAUCAAGGUUUUUAUGUAAAAGACAUACCUUCAUCCUACAGGCCACCACCCUUUGAUAAAAAAUAUCACAGUAACAAAGGAUUUAAAAGAUAAAAUAUAUGAACCUUUUUCUUGGUUUUCCUAAAUCUGUGCUGUGAGCGUGUGUGUGUGUGUGUACUGUCCUCUACGCAAGGAUGAGUGGCAGCUUUGAUCUUGGCCUUUUAUAAAUCCCCUCCAUCUCUCUACACAUCUAAGGGCCCCAGGUCCUGUCAUGCUGCGGCUGCGGUGCCGGAUGCCGGCCAUAAUGAGCAAGCUGAGCAGGCACUGGAGAAAGACUCUGAAUCACCCUCCAUCACAAUCAGCAUGCACCACUCACUCAGCAGCAAAUAACCCAAUAUGCCCCAGGGCCAUGCCAGACCCAUAGACUGCUCCUUUUCACUGGGGCCAAAUAACUACCAUGAAUGCCAGAGCAGUCCCCACAUGAUUACAGUCCUAUGCAGUCUGCUGGUUUGUAACACACAGGUGCUAAAAAACUGUGCAGAGGUCCACCUGCUUUGCUCAGGAGUAUGGCUACCUGGCCUCCUGCUUGUUUUCUUAGGGCACACAUUUUCUGUGCCCUUAAUUUUAUCUAAGAUUAUACCUGUUGAGUUCAACCACACUCCUGCCCAGAGGUACCCCAUAUUAUGGCCCCAUUUGUCAACCCACCCCCUCCCCCACCAAUGUAUAACAGUCUGGACAGGAAUGCUGUUAUUAGUGCCUGCGGUAGUGUUCCGCCUGUUUUGAAAUUCACUUAAAUUUCCAGAUGCUAAAAUCAACUCACAAAUGCUAUUGGAAAUUCAUAAGGACACAUGUUAUCUUUGUUGUGGCCACUCAAGAGGUGUGGCUAUUUUCAAAUGCAAAUUGAGCAAGGUGCUCAUUUAUCCCAGAUCUGUCCCUGAGGAAGGGAGUAACACAUAAGAAAGAAAGGGAGAGGAGGAUAAAAACACUCAGCACUGGCACCAGUCUGCUUUCUGAAGAGGAAGUGCUUUUUCAUCCUCUCUGUUUCUUCAUCUCCAUCCUUCAGGCAGCAGGAGAGAAAUGCAUGCAAAAGCAAAGCUCUGUGUUCAUCUGAAUUUACUCUCAGCACAGACAGGGAAGGAGCAGCUCCUGGUCCUUAAGCGUGUAUAACAGGGUUGGGAAUUGCAGAGCAUAUAAUGAAAAUGGGAAUUGCAUGGAGAUGGCAUGUGCAAGGUUGCAUGCAGGAAAACAAAGCUGAGGCUUCCUUUCAAAUCAAUGUUUCUUUCCACUGUCUCUUAUAGCACUUUAAGUAGUGUAGUGUAAGCCCUUAAGAUUAAUAGGGUGCAUAAGAGUUAGUUACUUUCACAGGCAUCAUAGAGGUCAGCCUGACAACCUUGAUGGGUCAUCUUGGCCUUUUUCAUCUGGUAGCAGAAGGACUUUUGGUUUGGUCUGGGUUUUGUUUUGAGUGCUCAUAAGUGAAGCGCAAUAGGCCUGCACUGACAACAAGUGAGUGGCAGUGAUCUCAGACUUCUACACUUAAAUGUUUGGAGGAUUGUUACGUGGGAAUGUGCGUGCUGGUAAAUGAUGUGUGUUUGUGUGUGCAUGUGCUUUUAUGUUCUGCAUUUGUGUAUGUUUAUAUGUGUGUAUGUCUGUCUGCUUGUGGGUCUCUGUGUGUGAAUCUUUGUCUAUUUUUUUUUUAGCUAGCUUCAUGAACACUUCAUUGAUGUGACCAGAAGCUGUUAGUACAAUACUCAGAACAUGUUCAGUUCCAUGUUCACUUUUUCAAAGCUUAUCACACAUUUAACAUUACAGUAGUCUAAGCAGACUACACACCAUAUUGCACUAGUUUAAGUGGACUAAACUGUGGAUUAUUUGACAUUACACUGGUCUAUGUGGACUAAACUGUGGGUUGAGUCAUGGUUUUCUUCAUUUAUACCUUAACAUUUUAUGUUUUUGUUUCAAUGCAAAUGCCCAUUUCACAACUGAUUACAGAGAAGACCUAUCCAGGUGUUUUCUAUCCAAUACAGGAUCCCUACAAAAGGUGGUGCCUUUAUCAUGAUAUGUAUGUUUAACAUGGACUCACCCAGACAAAGGAAAGUGAUUGGGAGAAGAGGAACCACUCUUGCACAGGAAGAGGAAUGGACAGGGGAGAGAGAGGAGUGUGUAUGUGGUGGAAGAGUACAGAGGAUGGUCAAGAACUUUAGUAACAAAUGAGAUAUCCACUAAUGGACAGUUGAUGCACAAGCUUGUCAUUGGGCCAUACAACAUGGGGACACCUCUUAUCAUUCAUGGAUGAUCUCUGUGGAAGGCUUGUAGCAGAGAAGACGGAGUUCAGGUGAGAGAGAAUAUCUGGGACAAUGUGGUCUGAGAGUGGUUUGCAGCUCAUACGGGAACAACAAUACUUUUCCUCCAAGCAUGUUCUCCAUUCUUGAGCUGCACAAGGAAAUUGUUUUCCUCAUAGAGGUGGAAGGUGUAUGACCAUCAUCCACAUACUUAAAUGUCCCUUCUUGAUGCAAUGUCUUCUGGAUGCCAUGACAUAUCUGCAGAAGACUGCCAGGGACGGAUGGGGCAUUCGAAGCAUUUUACCCCAGAUGUAUUACACGAGAGAACAUGGGGAACCUGUGACCAAAUGACAAAGACAGAAUUGAAUAGGGCACUGUAACAUGUGUUCAACAAAUGUGUGUGUAUGAAUGCAUGUAUAUUUACUGAGAGAUAUAUAUUUUUAUUGUUGCAAUAACAGUGACUAGUUUUGUUUUUGGAGCUGCCAUUGCAAAAUACUAGUAAAAUAAACUUUUGAACAAAUUGCAGAA